CAUCCCUGUAUUACGUUAGAGACAACCAACCUGACAAAGCAAAGUAGCUUGUGAAGCCAAAAUGUCUAGGAAGCUUAAAUAAAUGAUAAUCAAUUGUACACUAACUUAAAUGUUACUGAUACAAGAAAAAAAAAUGCUCAUGUCAAAAUUGUAUGCUGCUAUUUGUCCUUCACUUCUGCAUUUCUCACUAUUCUUUAUUCUUUGGUGUGGUAAGCUGCUCCACGUUCAACAAUUCAAAGCCAAAAGCCAACAUCAUCCCACUAAUUUUAAGCUCCAAAAUGUGGUCAGCAGAAUCACUCAUUCAACGUUUGUAAUAACAUACAGCUUUGGGUCCACCACACAAUCACGGUUGUAAUUCACUUCUGCAGGUGUUGGCACGCCAAUAGCAGCGUUUGAACUGUGAAUGGUCAGUAACACAUAUUACAUGGGUGAGUAAACCAUCUGCAGGGGAGAAAAAACCACAGCAGAGAUAGCUAAUGAAUGAUCUCAAGUGAGGAGACAUAACAAAGAUUUUGCAUGCAAUAUCUUUUCAGUGGCGCCAUGGAGAUCCACCAAUAUUAUAGCUAAACCCAUUUUCAUCAUCUCGGUUAUGUCUCCAACGCUGUUUCUUUCUUCCUCUUUUCGACCCAUUUUCUUCAUGACUGAUCUUCCCCACAUCACCAUUUUCUUUUAUCUUACUAAACUUGUCUUUGGAAGAAGAUUUCCUUUUCUUCCCAGAUGAUUGUGCAUCACCAUCUCCAGCUACUCCACCUCCCCGUGGCAGUUCUUCAUCAUCUAACAACCAGUUACCCAAAAUCUCCUGGUGAUCAUCAUGAUGUGACUGUAUUGGCUCCCCAGCUCCCGGCAGCAGGGCAUCGAAAGUCACCUCCCCAUUGCAUCCUCCUUUCCGCUCCAGCAAAACAGGGUCUGGUCUAAUUAUGGUGCCAAGAAUGCUCCUGUUCGGGCCUAAGCUUAAGAUGGUCUUUGGAUUUGUCAAUGUUGAAAAUGCCAUUGAAAAGGCUGACCUAAUCUGGAAGUAAUUAAAUGAGUUCUUCCCAAUGUCAUUGUCUGGUGCCUGUGGAUCUUCAAUGGCGAUGAGAAAUGGCCGUCCCUUGUUUAUAAACCCUUUCCUACGCUUUGAAAAGAAAGUGCCUGCCCCAUUGCAAGAUACACCAACAUCUAUGGUGUUCAAUUUGCGCCCGUAAAAGUCAAAAAAAUGUAUCAGGAGGACUCCCAAAUUAUCUUCUAAAGAAGAUUGGCACUCUCUGAGAUUCUUUAACAUUGCCAUGAGCAUCGCAAGUAGAGCAUAAGAACCUAUGCCGCCAGAGUAUACCUCAUUGAGUUCUCUUUGUUGUAAAAACAAUUUCAAGAUUAAACAUAAUGGCCGUAGGCAAGGCCAUUUGGAUACUG
rnacentral:misc_RNA from 1 species